rnacentral:rRNA from 1 species
CCUACGGGAGGCAGCAGUGGGGAAUAUUGGGCAAUGGGCGCAAGCCUGACCCAGCAACGCCGCGUGAAGGAAGAAGGCUUUCUGGUUGUAAACUUCUUUUCUCAGGGACGAAGCAAGUGACGGUACCUGAUGAAUAAGCCACGGCUAACUACGUGCCAGCAGCCGCGGUAAUACGUAGGUGGCAAGCGUUAUCCGGAUUUACUGGGUGUAAAGGGCGUGUAGGCGGGGACGCAAGUCAGAUGUGAAAACCACGGGCUCAACCUGUGGCCUGCAUUUGAAACUGUGUGGCUUGAGUACUGGAGAGGCAGACGGAAUUCCUAGUGUAGCGGUGAAAUGCGUAGAUAUUAGGAGGAACACCAGUGGCGAAGGCGGUCUGCUGGACAGCAACUGACGCUGAGGCGCGAAAGCGUGGGGAGCAAACAGGAUUAGAUACCCGGGUAGUC